UACAGAGGUCUCGAGCGUUAGGCGGAAUCACUGGGCUUAAAGCGUGUGUAGGCGGAUUGGUAAGUACUUUGUGAAAUCCCACGGCUUAACCGUGGAACUGCUUGGUAUACUGCCAGUCUUGAGCCAGCUAGGGGCUACCGGAACAAAUGGUGGAGCGGUGAAAAUGCGUAGAUAUCAUUUGGAACGCCAAUGGUGAAAACAGGUAGCUGGGGCUGUGCUGACGCUGAGACACGAAAGCCAGGGGAGCAAACGGGG
rnacentral:rRNA from 1 species